GACAAGCUCAGAGACCUAGUGAUGGCUGU
rnacentral:piRNA from 1 species